AUUGAACGCUGGCGGCAUGCCUUACACAUGCAAGUCGAACGGCAGCACGGGAGCAAUCCUGGUGGCGAGUGGCGAACGGGUGAGUAAAGUAUCGGAACGUGCCCAGUCGUGGGGGAUAACGUAGCGAAAGUUACGCUAAUACCGCAUACGAUCUAUGGAUGAAAGCGGGGGAUCGCAAGACCUCGCGCGAUUGGAGCGGCCGAUAUCAGAUUAGGUAGUUGGUGGGGUAAAGGCUCACCAAGCCGACGCUCUGUAGCUGGUCUGAGGGGACGACCAGCCACACUGGGACUGAGUCACGGCCCACACUCCUACGGGAGGCAGCAGUGGGGAAUUUUGGACAAUGGGCGAAAGCCUGAUCCAGCCAUGCCGCGUGCAGGAUGAAGGCCUUCGGGUUGUAAACUGCUUUUGUACGGAACGAAAAGGUUUGGGCUAAUAAGCUGAGCUCAUGACGGUACCGUAAGAAUAAGCACCGGCUAACUACGUGCCAGCCGCCGCCGUAA
rnacentral:rRNA from 1 species